GGAAAACGCCCAUCCUGACUUCUCAACUAUGACAGUUUUUCUCUGUCGCCCAGGAUGGAGUGCAGUGCAGUGGCGCGAUCCUCCAACCUCCGCCUCUCGAGUUCAAGCGAUUCUCCUGCCUCAGCCUCCCGAGUAGCUGGGACGCGCGCCACCCCACCCAGAUGAUCUUUUUAAAUGCAAAAUGCCAUCGAUGCGGAAAAUCAAAGGUAUCCAUUGCAUCUGUGCGUUUGAGUUCUAGGAUACGACAAAGAAAAACAAUUUAAAUAUUACGUAAAUUC
rnacentral:antisense_RNA from 1 species